rnacentral:rRNA from 1 species
CAGUCGCCGCGGUAAUACGAAGGGUGCAAGCGUUAAUCGGAAUUACUGGGCGUAAAGCGUGCGUAGGCGGUGAGUUAAGUCUGCUGUGAAAUCCCCGGGCUCAACCUGGGAAUGGCAGUGGAUACUGGCUCGCUAGAGUGUGUCAGAGGAUGGUGGAAUUCCCGGUGUAGCGGUGAAAUGCGUAGAGAUCGGGAGGAACAUCAGUGGCGAAGGCGGCCAUCUGGGACAACACUGACGCUGAGGCACGAAAGCGUGGGGAGCAAACAGGAUUAGAUACCCCAGUAGUCCCUGUCUCUUUACA